rnacentral:rRNA from 1 species
AAUACGGAGGGUGCAAGCGUUAUCCGGAUUUAUUGGGUUUAAAGGGUCCGUAGGCGGAUCUGUAAGUCAGUGGUGAAAUCUCAUAGCUUAACUAUGAAACUGCCAUUGAUACUGCAGGUCUUGAGUAAAGUAGAAGUGGCUGGAAUAAGUAGUGUAGCGGUGAAAUGCAUAGAUAUUACUUAGAACACCAAUUGCGAAGGCAGGUCACUAUGUUUUAACUGACGCUGAUGGACGAAAGCGUGGGGAGCGAACAGGA